UAGCCGCAGCUCUGCUUCGCCACCUGGUGGGACUCGCUCUGGGCUUUGCCAUCAAGGGCCAUCUACCUGUGGAGAACAGGCAGCUGGAAUUCACCUGACUUUGAUCUGUGUGGGAAUUGCAUCCUGCUCUGAUCACAACACAAGCUGCAUUGUCCAGCUCAUCUUAUUAGCUCGAAUUAGAUCAGGAUUGUUCUUCCACAUGGGACGCGUGACGUGCUGGAGGCAGAUAUCACUCCAACCUUCAUAAUUUCCCAGCAGGAUGCUCCCUUCACCUGGAAACUGAAUUUGUCUCUGUACCACCAAACAUCAGCAGUGGAUCACAGGAUCUUUUCCAAAUUCUAUCAUAAAGAGAUGACUUCACUAGAGCAAAUACCAAAGGUUCACAAGGUGCAAACCAUUCAUCUGCAUGGAGAACAUAAACGCCAGAUUAAACUUCACCCAAAAAAGUCAGGAAACAUCAUUAUGUGGACAGAUGAAUCUAAAAUCAAUCUGUGCCAGAAUGACUGAUUUAGAGUUAGAGAUAUUGAAAUAAAUACAAUUGGUGCACGACAGUUCAGUCUCACUGUUUUAGCAGGAAGUAGUUCCCGGAAAGAAUCCUCCCUCUGACGACAUCAUUGAAGCCCUCGUGUCGGGUAGAAGCAUACAUGACCUCUGUUGAGCUGUCCAUCUUGCUGCGGUGGCCUGUUGAUCAAGUCAAACAGACCUAAUGUGAGACAUGCACUAUAAAAAGCUCCAAAACCACACACUACAGACUGUAUUGUUACCAUAUUCCAGGCCGUCAAAUCGGGCCAUGUUAGACGCCACCUCAGCGUGGCACAGGACGUGGUAGCACACAAUGGAGUACUGCGUAUGGGGGAGGGACACCUGCUCCACCCGUGCUCCAGCCUUCUCAAACAAGUCAGCCACAUGACUCCACUGGGCCAGAGUCUCGUCCGAGAGUCCCGGGGCAUGAUAUUCCUGAUGUAUAUCAUGGUUUCACCUUAGGGAUGCCCACACAGAUGUUCCUGACAUCAAAGUCUUCAGGAAACUCUGUUAGUGAUGACGGGGCAGGAACCGUUGUUGAAUCUCUAACAUCAAGGCCUUGAAGGACACCUGUGUGACAAAACACAUUCCCAGAUGACAGCUGCAUCAUUCACGCUGCGUGUCAUUAUACCCGGGACAUCCAUGGAGUUAACCAGGGGGAUGAGGCCGUGUCUAGAGAGCAGACCGUAGCUGGUGAGUGAGGCCACAGCUGCAGCGCUUCCA